CCUAGUUAAUUUAUUAAAUAAUGUUUGGUAUAUAAAAAUUAAAUUGCAGAAUUAUUAUCUUUAUAACAAAUGUAUCCAGUUGAUGAUAUGUGUGUGUCAAAUUCAUCAAUCAUAUGAAAUUAAAAAUAAUAAAAUGAAUAACAUAAGGUUCUACACACACAGGGAUACUCAAAAGAAACUGAAAUUGUUUAGAUACUAGUAGACCAGGUUAGGUUUCCAGUUAUCUUCACAAACACACACACACACACACACAUAUUUGAAGUUAUACACAGCAUAGUUUAAUAUUUUUC